CAGUAGCCGCGGGAAUACGAAGGGGGCUAGCGUUGCUCGGAAUGACUGGGCGUAAAGGGCGCGUAGGCGGUUUAUACAGUCAGAUGUGAAAUUCCUGGGCUCAACCUGGGGACUGCAUUUGAUACGUAUGGACUUGAGUGGAGAAGAGGGUUGUGGAAUUUCCAGUGUAGAGGUGAAAUUCGUAGAUAUUGGAAAGAACGCCGGUGGCGAAGGCGGCAACCUGGUCUUUAACUGACGCUGAGGCGCGAAAGCGUGGGGAGCAAACAGGAUUAGAUACCCGCGUAGUCCCUGUCUCUUAUAC
rnacentral:rRNA from 1 species